rnacentral:rRNA from 1 species
GAUCCUGGCUCAGGAUAAACGCUAGCGGCAGGCCUAACACAUGCAAGUCGAGGGGCAGCGGAAGAAGUAGCUUGCUACUUCUGCCGGCGACCGGCGCACGGGUGCGUAACGCGUAUGCAACCUACCUUUAACAGGGGGAUAAUCCGAAGAAAUUUGGUCUAAUACCCCAUAAUAUUUCAGAAGGCAUCUUUUGAGGUUGAAAACUCCGGUGGUUAAAGAUGGGCAUGCGUUGUAUUAGCUAGAUGGUGAGGUAACGG